rnacentral:lncRNA from 1 species
GAGAUGGUCUCCAAACUAGGAUGAAAUUUCUUAGAUGCAGAUUAAAAGGAAAACUAGAAGAGCCGAAUGGGAUCUUAGGACACAAAAGAAAAAGUCACAGGGUGCAUCCAGCCCCAGGGCAUCCCAGAGCUGGCUGACCCCCGCCGAGGAGAUCUGCUGAUGGAGUUGGAUUUGUCAACUGAGGGAACCUCACACCCCUGCCGUUUGUUGAGAGGGAAACAUACCUUCCACAAGAUGAUUCUUACUCUGUGAUUUACCGUUGGUCUCAUUCAGCUUCCACGGACCUCAGUAGAAACAGGACCACACCAGCCUUCCCACAAAAUCUGCUUUCUGGCUGCAUUCACAGUUCUAACUUUUAUUAAGUAUUUGUGGGAGCAAUUUUUCACCAGUAAACUCCUGCUAUUCACGUAAGAAAAAAAAAAGGAAGGGAGGUAUGUUUGAAAAAGGAUGAUUUUUUUCUGUUUUUUUUUUUAAAUUUUAAAUCAGGUACCUUUAAACAAAGCAGAGAAUUUCAUAUGCUCCAUUCCAGCUUUCUGAAUCUUUCCAAAAGGUGAUUACGAACACAUUUCUGAGGUUUUUUUCCUCCA